UAGAGGGAUGCAUCUAUUAAAUUCAACUGUCUAUUAGGUCCUAAUUCACUAAUUGCUGUAUCUUCUGUUUUUUAAAGAUUCCUGCAAGUUGAACACUUCUCAGAUCUACCCCACCAUUAGAGAGAAUACCUGUGUUACAAGGGAGAUAUAUCCAUUUGUGCUUUAGUUCUAAGCAUGUGUUGUCUCCUCAAGAAGUUUGGGCUGAUCUUCACACAGAGACAUCUCACCGCAGCCUGAAACAAAACAACACAACAAACAAAACGUCACACAGAAUCUCACGCUCUGGUUUUAAAAGCAGCCUCUCGCAAGGCCUUUCAGCCCCAGCGGCGCUAAGACAGGACGACGCAACGCACCCAGCACCUACACCCCCAAGCAAUGAAUCUCAGAAACGCACUCGUAGCUCCCAGCAGCCUCCGGCGGAGCUUAAGAGACUUUGCGAUGGACACGCCCCGAGCUUCGAAAGAGGCUCAAGAUCUGGUCCCAAACCUGCCGUGGGACAGACAUCUCAUCUCUUUGCACUGCCAGCUUCAAAUGAACAAGUCACCUGUGUUAAUAUCUGGAACUGAUGCCACAAGAUCGACUGGAGACCAGCGGUAACCAACUGGCAAUCCCACAGGCAAGAGUUGUCACUGCUGUGAUGGAGUUGUUCUGUUGGCCCUGAGAGGAGGAGGCGUUGUGCCCUCGCUAAUGAAAAACUGGUCAAGCUCCUCACUGCUACGCUGAUGAUGAGGUAAAUUCUGAGGAUUUGUGGAACUGUAAUGAUGAACAGACUGUUCACGCUGAGCCUCGAAACCGAGCCCGUUGUGCGCUGCUUUGGGCUCCUGAAGUGCUGGCCUCCCCGUAUUAAUUAUUAACAAUGCUAAAACACUCCAGGGAUUGGCUUGGAAACAUCAAACAUGCUUAAUAUUAAUGGCUCCCAGAUGAUAGCUGACAGUGAGCACUUGAAUGUGUUAAAGACCAAGGAGGAAAAUAACUACUGAAUACAAUAAACAUUUUCAAUAUUAAUUACAAAGAGAAUACAUAUGUGAACCACAAGAAAUGCCUUCCUAACAUUGCCUAAUGCUUUCUUAUAGCAUAACCUGCUACCUGUUUGAGGAGACUGAUCAUAUUCUUUACAUACACGGAGAGAAGCUUAACUUGCUUGGAGCACAGGGGGGUAACGAGUCCAGCAACUCGCCUCCUUGUACCUGAGAGGAGCUGCCCAUGGCUGCCUGUGGUUCAGAAUUGCUGCCUACUUAUGCGGCUCUCCUAUUAGCCUCCUCCCUUGUCAUUUCUGGCUUAUUCCUCAAUGAGAAUAUUUUGCUACGAACUGUUUGCUUAUCCCCAAACUCCACUGCACAACUCCUGCCCACCUUGCCAAGAGGGCCACAACGCAGCUUUGCUUUGGGUCCUGGACUUCAAAGAGUGAGCUGCCUCCCGGAGGAUGCAGAGACAAGGAGAUCAAUUGUGGGAAAUGAGAGACACAUUAUCUGACAGAGGACAGGUUUUGCAGUGUUUUACCUGCUGAAGGCACUCAGGCUCUCUCUGCCACGUGCUGUGAGCUGCUCACUGGGCUGCUUUUUGCCAUUGGGGUUAUUGAGUUUAAGGAGAUGUACCCCAGCCUCUCUGAUAAACUUGGUGGCUCCUGACCAGCUGGCUUAUGCUGCAAGUCUGGGACGGGAGCGCUGCUACAAAGAGUGAGUGCUUAUGUCUCAUUCCCUUAGGAAACCAGGCUAAAAAUGGCUGUAGGCAGCACCUUUCUGUUCUAGAGAGGAGGUUACUGACAGCCAUAAAUGCCUCCCAGUUCGGUAAUCUCACCCAGAAGUGUUUCUCUCGUUGGUGUUCCCCAGGCAGUUGUAAUAUGUGUGGCUGCCAGUACUUUGACAGUGCUUGGAGAAAGAAAUAUUUAAGUCAUGCUGUCUAGCACAGACUUGGAAAGUGAGUGUGGGUGUCAACAUAGGGGUUUUUUUGCUGGGAUCCCCACCCAGAUUUGGGAUGUAUGGUACAGAUGUGUCCACAGGGCAUUGUGCGAUGGGGUCUGUUUUACUUGUUUUGCAGUGUGUCAAUGGCCGUAUGGUACUCUUACUUUUUUCAAGCUGUGUCUAAAUUGUUGGCUGGUUUUCACCUGGUUCCCAGCCUCAAGCUGUGGGUGUUAUGGGUGCAGUCUGGAAACUGAAAUUAUUUAAUCUGUUGGAGCCUGAGCAGCCGUGCCUAACACCAGCCACUGCUGGAAGAGCAGCAUGCUGUUACACAGGGGUGAAGCAACUCAUGUGUCACUAGGAAGGAACAAAGAUGCCUCGAGGGGGAACCAUUAUCUGCUAUUACCUAGAGCAGCUCCUUUUUUAAUUGAAAAAUGUAUUAAAAAUUAUUUUGGGAACUUCUAAUUAGUUUGUCGGGGCACUAAUGUGCUCAGGAUGUUUCAGAAACUUUAGUAACUGCCCAGAAAGAGGCCACAACAGAGAAAUUGGUCUUUCCUGCCUUGACCCACUGCUGAAAUGUCAAGGAGGAAGAAAACUUGUUCAGAAAUUGAGGUUGAGCAACAGAGGUGGUGUCUGACGAGUUCCUGGGGAACUCCCUCUGAUGGCACCAAGCCCUGUGCGACUUCAAGCUGGGAACACUGCAGUAAGAAGCUUAGAGUAAGGCAGAGCUAGGAGAGCCAGAAGGCAAAAGAAAGAAAAAACGGUGCCUUGUGGAUGGGCAUCUGUUUCCAGCCUGGUGCCUGACAAGCCGCGCUGCUAGCCACAGAAAUGGUGGUUUGUAGAUGCAAGCACCAGUUUUCCUUUCUGCCCGGCUGGGGAUAUUUUUUUUAGCGUAGCUGAAAGGAAAGCAUUCUGUGGCAACUGGAUGAAUUGAGAAAAAAUCUUCUUUUGUUUCCACAACUGGCAAGAAGUCUGAACACUGGAGAGUAUGACAUCUCCUGCCCGACUUUUCUUGGCUCUCUUUGCUGAUGGAGAAUAGAAGAAAUAAUACCUUCACAUUCCUACAGGGAAGGAUCAGAAGGUUUUUAAUACCGUAAUAAUUAAUGCUGUGGAACAGCCAACAGGAAAAUUGCUGAGGGUGGUAAUUGGGUGGGUGCAGGAGCUGACCGAUGGGUUGGCUCAAGGUCCACAAGGGCAGGGGAAACACCCUGAGCAGAUGAGUCACAGCCAAACACCGCUCCUGGUUCCCUGAGCGUGCAAAAACAGGAAUGCUAUGGAUGCUAAGAAAAUAUGUUAUGGCUUCAAAUCAGAGGCACCCUUAGCUCUAAUGCACUGCAACGUCUGAAGUGUUUCAUUUCUGUUUCCUCUGAUGUUUUCUUACUGUUAUCUUCUUUCACUUCCGAGUUUAGGCCAAUGUCUUUGUUUCAGGAAGCUAUAAUGACCUGCCUUCCUGCCCUACUUGUGAUUAACACAGCUGGAAUCCGACUCCUUUAGCACUGGCACGGCUUAUUUUAGGUAAGCCAGGAACUAUCAGCUGCCUGCUGCUGUUCUGGUUGGGUGAGCAGAAAGGUGAAAGGAGAUGAGGUUGCUGAUACACUGCUUCGAGUACGUAAUGCAGAACCACAAGGUGUCAGAUAGAGGAGCAGUUCUUUCUAUCAUUAAGUGGUUGGAACUGUUCCCUGGGAGAAGACAUAGUAAUAAGUGAGUGGAAGAUACGGAGACCUGAAUAAGUGUGGUAGAUCCCUAGAAGCCAAGCACGGUUAUGUUUUCCUGCACUUCAGAAAAGGCACAUUUUUGCUCUGAGCUGCACUUCGUGUGAAUCCAGAUGAAUUUCCACAGGAACGACAAAAGGCUCCUCCUUCCCCUCCUUCCACUCCAGCUAGGGAAUCAAACUGCAACGCAGUGUUCACGUAAGCUUUUCCAAACCCAUGUUCACAUGUCGUUUUACAGGACGGUAUGACUAACUAGCGCAAACAAUCUGCUACAAACAAUUGGUGUUUUCAGACCAUAUGUUGUGGCUGUGUGUUACAGCAGCCCCAAACAACUCAAGAUUAAGAAAACUGGGAAGGCCCGUGUGGAAAAUGCUGCUCAGCUUGGAAUGUUUGACACGGGAGCGGAUGAGGCCACACAGCAUGGAGCAGACAAAGCACGCGAAGUCCAACAAGCAGAGAGCAUCCAGCCCUCGUAAGCAGGCCAUGUGUCCCCUUGCUCUCGUGUCUAUGCACUGUCAGAGCAGCAAAGACAGUGUGGCAGUGGCAGAAGGAAAACUUCCAUACAUUAAUCACAAAGAGAUGCAGAGGCAGCUCCAGCUGAUGUAAUGCAUUGUUUUCGCCAAAGCUAUCCCAGUUUAGUCUUGCUAAAGGAAAACCCAUCUGCUUUUUGAUGGAUGUACAUGCAGCACUCCCACAUGAAAUGUGUCUAUUGAUCUCUUGCUGACUUUGGCUCGGGCUAUGGGAGAAAAGGUGUAGGGGUGCAGUUCUUGCCUUGGAGGUAUUAUUACUGCGUGAUCCUGCUGUCUGAAAUGGGAUUUUAUCCCCACAGCACUUCUGGUAAGUGAAAAGGUGAAUUCCCUGCUUGGCACCGCGGCGCACGGCAUACAAGAUUGCAAUGCUGGGAAUGUGUUAUCCAUACCAGGAGAGUCAGGACAACCCCUCCACAGCUGCAGUGAUGCUGCCUGUGAGAGAUACUCACGUCUCAGGCCUCGUGGCUGGGAAGAAAGCGUGCGGUGUCUGGGCUAGUGUGAGGGUUGGCAGCCAAGCACUCAUGGUAAUGCUCACAACUUCUUUUGGAUUUGUGUCCAGAACCUUGGCAAUAAACAUCUGAUUUCCAGACUGCAAUUACGUAUGGCCUGUUUAGUUGUAAGCUUUUCUGCUAACUUGGCUCCAAACUUUACACAGAAUUAUCUACAGAUCUUUUCUCCAAAGGAGUUUAUGGAAAAGAUAUGCAGUCAUUCUCUUUUUCACUGGACAAGCCAACUCAUCUCAGAAAAGAUCAUCCCUCUUCUUAUGCCAGAAGCUUUUUCUUCUCAGAUAUGCAAGUCUGAACACUUCUUAAUGUGGGUAAGCAGACAAAGGGACGCCAUUUUAGGUAAGGUCACACAGGUGUUCUGUGUGACGAUAUAAAUAUUUGCACUGGGAGACCCUUACCUGAAAUGUUCUAACAUUAAACACAAUUCUUUGGUGUUUGUGUUGUAUUGAUGACACACAACCAAACCGUGACUGAUUUAUAAUCUCAGAACUUCCUCCUCUCCAUAAUUUCUAGCUGAUGAGAUCAUGAGCUUAGUCCUCGAUGUGGGAUUUGCAGUCUGCUCUGUUCCAUUCCAUCUGUGACUCAAAUCCUCAACAUCUUCCCAUUCCUGUAUGACUUUACCUACCUGUACUGAUGUUGCUUCAUACACUGUCAUCCAAGUAUUUCAUUAGUGCUAUCACACUUGCACUAGGGUGCUAAUGAAAAUAUUAGCUGAAAUCAAACCCGGGGCUUUGAAAGACUCCAUCUGAUGGAAGAGUCUUCCUCAACAUUGAUAGAGGCCCAAUUCAGAGACCUCCGGAUCCCCAGAGUGUAAAAGAGAGCAAGGUGUUUGUCUGCUGGUCUUUUUUCUCUAGUCCUUUUGAAGUUCAUCUUUGAAGGCUACCUUUUUAGGGACUGCCAACUCAAGUUCAUUGAUCUCCAUGCUGGAGCACCCUGGGAAGCUGCUAUCAGUUAUGGCUUUGCUCUUAUCCCUCACUGCAUAACCAAUAGCACCAGGAUAGAGAAGUAUAAGCCAUGCAAGGUUCCCACCCUGCCAGAUCUCCCCUGAUACAAAUAACCCCUCAGCUGGCCUGAAGAGGAAUAAAUCGCACCCAGACAAAUCUGCACAGACACUAGCAGUCUCCUGAGCCUGGUCUUGACCCUGCUCAGAUGUGGCAACAUCUGAAAGAAUUUCCCGUGGGGGUUCAUUUUCUGAGAAAGAUCAUUGUAGGCUCCUUAAGAGGUAUAAUACAGUAGAAGCCCUUUAGUUGCCCCAGUGAUUUUUCUGAAGUACUUCAGUGCCAACAUGUAUAUGUCUGUGAUGUAAUUUUUACCCAUUAAUAAAUCUACAAACUCUGCUGGAUACCAUUGCUAUUACGUUUGCAAAAUGUUACCAUAUUAAUGGAGCUCUGCUCAUUUCAAGGAUCUUGGCAAUAUGAAAUAUUGGCCUCUUAGGCGUAGGUUUUCUGAAGUAUUUAAACAUUCCGCUCUCCUUGAACCAAUGGACAUCUUGUUAAAGCUGUCAGACUUCCUUUCUGGCUCGCCAGAUGCCAUGAUCUUACAGUGGAGCAGAAGGUGACCCCAUGUUUUCUUUCUAUGCUGUCAUCUAGCCACUGGUUUCCUCUAUCCCAGGUUUUAAAGCUAAUAGAAAUGUAAUCAUACUUCACUGCGCAAAACAUAAAACCAUUUUAUUAUGUAGAAAUGGUCUACUGAGUACACAAGCAACAGUAGUUUUAACAGCCGACGGCUUGUUCUGGCUCUCAAGAGUGUGGUUUUACUAGAUGGUUUGGUUUAAAAGCAACACAGAGGGAGAAUUGUAUCUUUGGGAUGUGCUCUGCAUGAAACAGCCUCCUUGUACGUAGGAUAUUGGAGAAUUAUGCCCUUAAAAUCAAGCCCUUUGAAGCUGGCAAAGGAUACUCCGUCUUGCGCGAGUAUAAUUAAUCAAUUAUAACUCUCACACUAAAUGAGUCUUGACUUCACAUUGCUUGUUAAAAUAAGAGAUGUAUAUUUCAGUACUUGACUUUCAACUGCAGUCACUGUACUUCGUACUGUAGCCAAAACUAAUGUAUUUGAAUCAUUAUUAUGUAUUUACUUGGACAAAUUCUGUAUAUAUAGUAGUUUUAUGACAAGAUGGCUUAUUUGGACUUUAUUAAAAGAAAUAAAUGCUGUAAGUAUCUGGAAUGCAGGCAAGAAAUGGGAUUCCUUAAGCUACAGCUCACGUUCUACAUGUGACUUGAAUUCUGACUGUAGUCAGUCAGUAGCUUCUUCUAUUCCAAGUUCUGUGAUG